rnacentral:rRNA from 1 species
UAAGAAAAGAAAAAAAAGACUCUAGAGCAGCAGCGCCUCUCAAAUUUGCUGAUCAUUAGUUGGUGUUCAGAGCGGAGGUUCGAGUUUGUGGCCAGGGGUUGGAGAAAUCGGAGCCGAGCUGGCCGGCCUGUGGUGGCCCGGGUUGAUACUACGACGCUGGACGAGGAGUCUGGGGAUAGGGCUCCUCCCAGGUACAGGAACCUGCAGGACAUCGAUGCCGAUUUGAUAGGUCAGAAUCGGGGGUUGAGAUAUCAAGUUCAGUCCUUAGUGCAGCAGAUGGAGGCCAUGCAAGCACAACUGGCCCGAAUCGCUGUUGGCGGGUGACUGCGGGAUGUGCCAGAAGAGCAGGGGCAGCGAGGAUGCUUCAUACGACAGCGACAACUCUUCGGAGGACUAUCUACUGAAGAAUUUGCGGAUUGGAUGGAUGAAGUAGAGCGCAUCUUCGAUUAUGCAGAGUUUCCAGAGGAUGAACGUGUCCCUGCAGUAGCAACGCGGCUAAAGGGCCGUGCCUCUAUUUGGUGGAAGAAUUUGGAACAGAGUCGAAAAGUCCAUCACAAGCGAGAGAUUGAUUCUUGACUGCAAUGAAGGAGAAAAUGCAGAGAGAAUUUCUUCCCUUUAAUUAUGAGGAAGCCCUGUUCAGACAGCUCCAAAACUUACGACAAGGCAACAAGAGUGUCGGUGAAUAUACAGAUGAGUUCUAUCAAGUAGUCUCACGAAACAAUUUAAGUGAUUCAAAGAGUCAGUUAGUGGCAAGAUACAUUGGAGGCUUACAUCAGUCCAUCCAAGAUGUGCUUACUCUACAUGUCAAUUUUUUAGUGUCAGAGGCGUGUGAGCGAGCGUUCGCCAUUGAGAAGUAGCUGCAGGGGCCAUUACUUGGUGGUGGUAAUUUAUCUCGGACAUGCCCUUAUACAACAUCACCCAAGACAGUUGUGGAUAGCAGCAAAGCAAGGAAAAUGGGGUCUGCACCCACACCAAAAGGAGGUACAGAUUUGUCUAAAUAUUCUACAGCCAAGAGUGCUAAUUGUUACAAGUGUGGAUCUUCUGAACAUCUAAAAAGGAUUUCCCAAAGAACUGUCGUGAUGGAAAGGGAUUGAUGGCAGAAUUGGAUGAAGAGUUCCAGCAGCAAGGAUGAGCCUGUGUAUGAUGAUUCUGAAGGUGAUGAAGUUGAGUUAGACGGAGAUACAGGGGAUAUGUUGGUAAUGGAGCGAGCUUUGAUGAUACCUCCAAAUAAAGACAAAGAUUGGCGCCAACGGAGCUUGUUCCACACACGUUGUACUAUUACUGGAAAGUAUGUCAUGUUAUUAUUGAUACUGGCAGCUGGGAGAACACUAUAUCAAAGGAGGCGGUAAAUAAACUGGGGCUUAAGAAGGAAAAUCAUCCUUGUCCUUAUAACGUGCGCUGGUUCAAACCUGACAAGGUAUCCAAGCCAUUUGAGUCAGUCAUGGGAAAAUCUGGAGUGAAAACAAGGUCUUCUGAGUAGUCAGUGCUACCUGUCGGUGCAGAUUUCCUGCUGGUUACAGAUAGCUCCUCAGAGGAGGAUUCAGAGACAGAUGAACAGUCGUAUCCCCUCCCCCUGAGCCAUUUGAGUCGGUUGUGGAAAAAUCAGGAGUGAAAACAAGGUCUUCAGAGUAGACAAUGGUACCUGUUGAAGCAUAUAUCUCGAUGGUUACAGGUAGCUCCUCAGAGGAGGAUUCAGAGACAGAUGAUCAGUCAUAUAUCCCACCUGAGGUUAUCUUCCGAGCUACGGCAUUGAUCCGUUCAUGGUCAUUACUCACUCCGAUGGAGGCCAGGGAGCAUUUGGUUACUGGGUCUAUCCGUUGGGAGAUGGUUGCUCGGGAUAUAUUCAACCGGUUUGGAUGGCGUUGAUGUAAUAGGAUAGGCCAUUAAUUUACCUAUCUUCUAUAGCCAGCCGGUUGUGGCAUUUUAUUUCUGGCUAGUUUGUGUUUCUAGCCUUCUGAGCUCUGUGUGGGCUGCUUUUUUCUUUAUUUGAGAUUGAGACUAUGGAACUUUGUAUGCACAUUUUGUUGCUUGGUUAAUAAGAUGGCUGUAUGCAUCACUCUUGAUGCAGAGGCCGGCGAGUCCCCCCUUUUCGAAAAAAAAACUACUUUCCAAUUUGAAGGAUCCAAUUGAAACUCCAAUGGCACAAUAG